UACGUAGGUGGCAAGCGUUGUCCGGAUUCACUGGGCGUAAAGCGCGCGCAGGCGGUCUUCUACGUCUGGGGUGAAAACCCGGGGCUCAACCCCGGGACUGCCUUGGAUACGGGGAGACUUGAGGAUCGGAGAGGCAAGGGGAAUUCCUGGUGUAGCGGUGAAAUGCGCAGAUAUCAGGAAGAACACCCGUGGCGAAGGCGGCUCUCUGGGACGGUACUGACGCUGAGACGCGAAAGCGUGGGGAGCGAACAGG
rnacentral:rRNA from 1 species